CGCAGGUCCUCGCGGUGCGCACCGUUUGCGACUUGGUACUUGGAAAAAUGGACAAGGAUUGUGAAAUGAAACGCACCACACUGGACAGCCCUUUGGGGAAGCUGGAGCUGUCUGGUUGUGAGCAGGGUCUGCACGAAAUAAAGCUCCUGGGCAAGGGGACGUCUGCAGCUGAGUAAGUAUGAGCCCACGUGAUCCUGUAUACCGCACAUGCUGAAGCAACCGAGGAGUAUAUGUGAUAACGGCAUGUUUUCCAUUGAUGGCAGGGUAACGCAUAGCCUUACCCCCACAACCGCAACCACGAGUCCGUCUCUCAAAACAGUGUGCUGCGACGGCUCCUGCAUUUGCAGCUUCCCUGUGUGUUGCCCAGGAGCUCUCCACCUCCGAUGAACCCAGGGCCGUUCCCUUCAUACCCUUUCAUUAGUAGCUCUAAGAUGUUUGAUUAAGGUGUACGUUUACAGAGGAGUUGGUUGGUGAUGAGCAUUGAACAUUUGGGUUCUUCGGCAUAUGUCUCUGGAAAUUUAGAGACAGGGAGAUGCAGGAUUAAUCUUGAUUAAAAAAAAAAGCCCAGAUCAGCGUUCCCUGUUCCUCCAGAGUCUGCCAGGUGAGUUUCAUACUAGGACUGCUUGAUGUUCUGGAAUCCCUUAACCAGGAGUCCCAGUUGCCUUUUGAGAGCCGUGGUCAGACCCUUGGCGAGGGUGUGGCUGAGGAUGGCCCUGCCAGGGGGAAGGGCCCGAAAGCCCCUUUUCAGCAUGACUUUAAGUUCUUGUCAUUUCUAAGAGCGUACAUGUUUCUCUUUUUGUGAACAGCUCCCACUAUAUUUCUCUAAUUGCAAAAACGUAAGAAAUGUAAAGCAUUCCUUAGUGUUUUGCUUUGAAAUGUAACAUUUAAUUUCCUCCGUUCAUUCUAUUAAAAUUGUAGCUCUUGUUAUUUCUGACCAAAGAAGAAGAAGAAAAAAAAAA
rnacentral:lncRNA from 1 species